rnacentral:rRNA from 1 species
UACGUAGGUGGCGAGCGUUGUCCGGAUUUAUUGGGCGUAAAGGGCGCGCAGGUGGUGCGGUAAGACUGCCGUGAAAUCUCCUGGCUCAACUGGGAGGGUGCGGUGGAGACUGCCGGACUAGAGGCACUCAGAGGCCGGUGGAAUUCCCGGUGUAGUGGUGAAAUGCGUAGAGAUCGGGAGGAACACCAGUGGCGAAGGCGGCCGGCUGGGGGUGACCUGACGCUGAGGCGCGGAAAGCGUGG